rnacentral:rRNA from 1 species
AACGAACGCUGGCGGCAUGCCUAACACAUGCAAGUCGAACGAGACCUUCGGGUCUAGUGGCGCACGGGUGCGUAACGCGUGGGAAUCUGCCCUUGGGUUCGGAAUAACAGUUAGAAAUGACUGCUAAUACAGGAUGAUGUCUUUGGACCAAAGAUUUAUCGCCAAAGGAUGAGCCCGCGUCGGAUUAGAUAGUUGGUGAGGGAAAGGAUCACCAAGGCGACGAUCCGUAGCUGGUCUGAGAGGAUGAUCAGCCACACUGGGACAGAGACACGGCCCAGACUCCUACGGGAGGCUGCAGUGGGGAAUAUUGGACAAUGGGCGAAAGCCUGAUCCAGCAAUGCCGCGUGAGUGAUGAAGGCCUUAGGGUUGUAAAGCUCUUUUACCCGGGAUGAUAAUGACAGUACCGGGAGAAUAAGCCCCGGCUAACUCCGUGCCAGCCGCCGCUGUAA